rnacentral:snoRNA from 1 species
GGAGGGGUGGUGAGAAUUUCAAAGAACUAUGCUCUGAGUAAAACAUUUUGUAGUGCCCCAUGCCAGAGCAAACUGUGACCUUGAACCAUAGCCUGGCCUCUGCCCAUAGGCCCAGGCACCGAAGCAGGUUACACGGUU